rnacentral:rRNA from 1 species
AUUGAACGCUGGCGGCAGGCCUAACACAUGCAAGUCGAGCGAGCGGUGGACGGGUGAGAAAUGUCUGGGAAACUGCCGGAUGGAGGGGGAUAACUACAGGAAACGGUAGCUAAUACCGCAUCCAAUCAGAGGUGUCCAGGGGGGAUUAGAUAGUAGGUGGGGUAACGGCUCCCCUAGGCGACGAUCCCUAGCUGGUCUGAGAGGAGGACCAGCCACACUGGAACUGAGACACGGUCCAGACUCCUACGGGAGGCAGCAGUGGGGAUUAUUGCACAAUGGGCGCAAGCCGGAUGCAGCCAUGCCGCUUGUAUGAAGAAGGCCUUCGGGUUGUAAAGCACUUUCAGCGGGGAGGCGUUACCCGCAGAAGAAGCACCGGCUAACUCCGUGCCAGCCGCCGCGGUAAUUC